rnacentral:lncRNA from 1 species
AUCAGGAAAGGAGCCCCUGAGGGCAGGGACUCUGCCUGGGCCAACAGCUGACAGAUUUUAGGAGAGGUUGAAUGAAUUCCGGGUCAGAGAAUGUGCUUCUGUCUUUAAGGCAUUAGCAUUAAGAGAGCUAAAGGCUUAUGUAAAGUCCUUAAGGGAUGAUAAACAGCGUCCACCCUGGGGCUGCAAGACUGAGAGGUGACUGGGGCCCCGCAGAGGGAACUUAAGAUCUGAAGAAUUUUUCCAAGGCUCCAUUUUCGUUCUUCUCUGAGAUUUAAGCUUCAUAUUUCUCAGCUGCCAGCCUCCCCAGGCUAUCUCCCCUUCCCCCAGUGCACCUUUCCUGGGUGGUCUCUGUCCGUUCCAAGCUCCUUCUAUGUCUCCUUACGUGUACUCAAAGGAAGAGCCACUCGGAUGGCCGAGUCAGGCUGUAGCCCAAGUCCUUCCUGUUCCGAUGAAGAGCACCAGCUUGGCCCUAUGCAGAGUCUCUGAGAUUUGCUGGAAAUGACCAGAUCUAUAAGACAGAUUGGCUCCUGACAGUACCCCUGUUCCACUUCAGAAAAGAUGAUGAGAAUCAAUAACCUCCAAGUGGAGUUGCUUCAAUUGAUAGCCACUGGGCAAGAACUGCCCUAACUUCAUCUGCAGACAGAAUGCUGUCCAAACAGCCAGACAAACAGAUGCAGGAUAGUUGACUGCUGAGCUCUGCCAAGACAAGACUUGGAUCGGCUCCACUCCACACACUGGCCACUGUCAUGGUCCUUCCACAGUCCUGGGUCCUCUCUUCCCCUGGAAUCUUCACGGCAACUGAGGCUUCGCUGACAGCAAUGGCCUCCUGGCUGACCUGCAGAGACUCCACUCCUGCUGUAUGGUGUCGAGCACCUGGACAGCUCUCCUUCAGUCCUGCGGGUCCCACUGUAACCGAGCAUACAUCUUCACCUAUGACUUCCUGGCCUCUCUGCCAACCGUACCAAGCCUGACUGCUCGCCAUGACAUCCUCAUGUCUUCAAAAACAGCACAUGUGGAAGACUGU